rnacentral:ncRNA from 10 species
AUCGUUCAUCUCUUUGGAGACGGAAGUAGGUGAAAACCGAAGGAACGCGCC